rnacentral:tRNA from 1 species
GGGGCCGUAGCUCAGUUGGGAGAGCGCCUGCUUUGCAAGCAGGAAGUCAGGGGUUCGAAUCCCCUCGGCUCCACCA